CCUACGGGAGGCUGCAGUGGGGAAUUUUGCGCAAUGCUCGUAAGAGUGACGCAGCGACGCCGCGUGAAUGACGAAGGCCUUCGGGUCGUAAAGUUCUUUCGACAGGGAAGAAAAUGCCUAUAAGUAACUGUGUAUGUAUUGACGGUCCCUGUAUAAGCAGCCCCGGCUAACUCCGUGCCAGCAGCCGCGGUAAUACGGAGGGGGCGAGCGUUGUUCGGAGGGACUGGGCGUAAAGAGCACGUAGGCGGUGUUGUAAGUCAUUAGUCAAAGACUAGAGCUCAACUUUAGUAAGGCUAGUGAUACUAUAAUACUAGAGUAUCAGAGAGGAUUGCAGAAUUCCUGGUGUAGCGGUGAAAUGCGUAGAUAUCAGGAGGAAUACCGUUAGCGAAGGCGGCAAUCUGGCUGGAAACUGACGCUGAGGUGCGAAAGCGUGGGUAGCGAACAGGAUUAGAUACCCGUGUAGUC
rnacentral:rRNA from 1 species